ensembl:lncRNA
UUAAGUAUAUCAUAUUUAUUUCACCUGUAUGAAAUUGUCCAUAUUUUUGAACCAUAUCUUGUUGCAGCUGUGAAUUUCAAUAUAAGAAGGUAACAUUAACAGGUUUCUAAUAAAUAUGGAAUCUUAUCUACAAUGACAAGUAACUGUCCAGACGCUUUUGUCUGAGAGAAAGAAUCUGUCGAGGGGUUAUUAGCUCUCGGGUAAAGUUUAGAAGGAAGUAAGAAGUGUGUCUUUGAAACACGGUAAGAAAUAUGAUGAAAAAUCCUUUUCAGGUUGGUGUUCAGUUUUAGACACUGAGUUUUAAAAAAGAGGAAAGGAAGAAACAUAUAGUUAUCAUUGCAGGCAACCAAAAUUUAAAAGUUCUAAAAUGAGGAAACUUGUGUGUGACAUAGUGGUGUUAAGAAUAAUAAUAAAUGCUUCUGAAAACACAAUUUAAUGAUAUCUUCUUUUUUAAAAAACGAUGUUUUUUUCAUUUGGAAACUCUGAAAAAACAAUCCAACCAAUAUAUAAUAUUCAUUGGAUUAAACAUAUUUAUUAAAAUUGGUCAUUCCUAACAUCAUUACUUUUAUUUCUAUAUAUUGUAGGUGUUGGGAUUUUAAAAAAUGAAAUAGAAAAAAAAAUUAUGAAAUAAAUAAUUGCAAGUUGGACAGCAAACAAAAAUGGACACAUACUUUAAAGAUACACUAUUUGUAUUCUUUUUUCUCUUCAUCCAUACACAUAUAGCAGGGAAUGUAAAUUAGAAUUUAGGUGGAUUUGGGAGCUGUUUUCAUACAGAAUGUGUGUGUUAUAGCAUGACCCCCCAAAAAAUCAGAAUCAAUUGUUUUACAAUAAAACACUGGUUUGCAAGAAAUAAGAUGAUCUCUCAGAUAAUCCAAAAUACAUAUCUGCAGGGUAAGGAAUGUUUUAAGGGUGCAGGAAAUAAAGACAAGGAGACAGCAGGGAGAGGGAAGGAAACAAAAAUUACUGAAAGGCAUGUGAAAAGAGAAAAGGGUUACAGAGAGGAAGAAACUGAUACAUAUACUGUAAGAAAAAAAGAGAAGAAUCAAAGGAAUAGAGAAAGGGCAUUCACACAAAAUGAGGAACUGCUGAUAAAGCCUAAAAGAAGGUGAGAGACAGUGUGGUCUCUGCAGAGAGGAGUUAACACAGCAGACCUGCUGAACAGCAUGUAACCAGCAGCAAAAUUUUAGAUACUAUUAUUAGUCCAGUCAUUCAUUAUGCUAUAUGGCAGGCAAAAAGUCUAUAUUUCUAUUCGUUUUCCCAAAAGGAUUUAGAUAAAUUGCUUAUAUUCUUUUAGAAGACUGUUUACCUCUUAUCUAUAUAUGUCCCUUAACAAGGCCACAAAUGUGAGAUAAGACUGAGCCUUAUAUUUUAUAGAAGAUAUAUUUUGUUGUAAAUAAAUACUCCAACGUUGAGAGGCAUGCCAAAUCAAGUGACUUUUGACACUACUUUAGAAACAAGCAUGUAUUACUAACUGUAAUACAGAUUUUACUAAACUAAAUGUAUGGGGUGAGAUUGAAUGUUCCUCAGACAUGUUUUGAAGUCCUUUAAGAGCAAUUUUAGUGUUAAGUUUGAAUCUGAAUUAAGACACUACUGAGUUCCCCAGGAACGACUCCACCUUGCAACUUUCCCCUAGAACAAGGUUCAGUCACAGCUUUAAAUGGACAACUGAAACUGCUGAUGUUAGAAAAUGGCGAUAUAAUCUCUUCCUCUUGCUUUGCCUUUAUCAGGUACCCCACUUAGCCUACUCUUUGAAAUUACAGUGGUAACAUUGAUUCCUCUGAAUUUACCUCCAUUUUUUCAUGGUUUUGGAUACCUUUCCUCUCCUAUUCUGCUGAGUUGU